rnacentral:misc_RNA from 1 species
UGGCGGCGUGCUCGCUUCGACGCCAUCUUCUUCUUCGGCUACAAAUAGGAAGGUGAAACAGGCCAAGGGGAGCAUUCCAAGCAGGGGCGCUCUCGUUGCUCAUAGAACCGUUCUUUUAGUCACUGCUCGAGGGUUUGGCUGGCACUGAGUGGAUUUCCCUUUUCAAAAUGACGCUAAAUCCCCAGUUUCAGCAGAUCGGCGAGAGUUUCGUCAAGCAAUACUACUUAAUCUUUGAUGGAGAGAGAGAAGGAAGGGAGAAAUUGGCAAACUUUUAUCACGCGGAAUUGUCGUUAAUGUCCUUUGAAGGAGUUCAGGUGCAAGGUGCUGCUCAGAUUAUAGAUAAGAUUAAGGGAUUGACCUUCAACAAAAUUGCGAGAGCAAUCACCACAGUGGACUGUCAACCAACCUUCGAUGGAGGAGUUAUGGUCAACAUUCUAGGGCAACUAAAGAUGGACGACGACCCUCCUCAUGGGUUCAAUCAGACGUUUGUGCUCAAGCCCCUUGGUGACAGUUUCUUCGUCCAGCAUGACUUCUUUCGCCUGGCCCUUCAUCACAUUGCCAUAUGAACAUUGGUGCGAGGUGCCAGGCAAGGAUGAGGCAAACGUGCCAUAGUCACCCCUCUGCUGCAUCUUUCUCUUAUGGACGAAGACCCAGUGCAUGGAUUCUCGCAAACAUUCGUUCUCAAGCCCAUGAACGACUCCUUCUUCAUCCAGCACGAUUCUUUCCGCCUGGUCAUUCACAAUCAAUAAGCCAUCAUAUAAUAAUAAUAAUAUUGUCA